UACCACAUCUAAGGAAGGCAGCAGGCGCGUAAAUUACCCAAUCCUAAUUCAGGGAGGUAGUGACAAGAAAUAACGGACUGAGGCCUAUGCUUCAGGAUUGCAAUGAGUAGAAUUUAAACCCCUUUUCGAGUAACAAUUGGAGGGCAAGUCUGGUGCCAGCAGCCGCGGUAAUUCCAGCUCCAAUAGCGUAUAUUUAAGUUGUUGCAGUUAAAAAGCUCGUAGUUGGAUUUCUGGUAGGAUGCUAAUGUCCGCUUGUUGCGUGUGCAUAUGCGUCCUGCCAUCCUUCUGUUAACUGUCCUGGUAUUGAUUUACUGGUUCAGAGCUCAGAUAUUUUACCUUGAGAAAAUUAGAGUGUUUAAGGCAGGCAUGCGCCUGAAUACAUUAGCAUGGAAUAAUAGAAUAGGACUUUGGUCUCCUUUGUUGGUUUGAGGGACUAGAGUAAUGAUUAAUAGGGACAGUUGGGGGCAUUAGUAUUUAAUUGUCAGAGGUGAAAUUCU
rnacentral:rRNA from 1 species